GCAGCAGGGGCGUGCGGGCCUCGCGUACCGCCUGCAGGGGGCGCCGCCGGGGGCGGCCUGGGAGCAGAGGCGCGGGCCCGGCCCUGCAUUUCCGCCCAGGCCCGGCCCUCUCCGACGCCCCGGCUGCCGGCAGGACCGAAAACUGGAUAUUUGGUCCCCAUGGACUUUCUGGUCACCCUAUGAGGUGGACUUACUUUGUCUUGAGUCAUGUGGAAGGACUCUGAAGUCACAAGUUUUUAAGACUCUCAGGCUUACUGUGGAUCUGGAUUCUAAAGCAACACUUCCUUGAAGAAACAAGCUUACAGAAAUCUCAGUUCACAGCAACCCAGCGUAACUGAUUAUUUGCUUUAGCCUUCACCCCACGGAGUCAGUGCCACAGGGGUGUGGGGAUUGGGAGGAAGACCACAGAGAAUUCAACUUCAAAAUGUGAAGCCUAAAUCCAGGAAAAGUGUCUUCAUACAUUGAGAAUAUGAUUUAUACCACAUUUCACCACAGUGGAUAUACUCCAGAACUAAGUUUAGUUAUAUCACAGAUCAGCCUGCAUAUGAACAAAGUGCUAAGACUGUAUUUAGCUUCAUUUCUCCCCAGAAAUUACAAGAUUCUGACUAACACUGGAUCCUUUUACUAUUUUUAUAAUUUUCAUCUUUCAGAUUCCUUUCUCUGUAGGACUCCUGCUUUGCUUGGAAAGAGAUGUAAAAGAGUCACAAACUCAAUGCCUUCAGAUGCAGUCUUUGUUACUGAUGAGAUGUUCCUUUUCCUUUUGUAUUUGUUUAUUGUUCUUAAAUCUGUUUGGGGGAUAAGUGACUUAUUGUAAUAGCAAGUAAAAAUAACAACGGGGUAAACUCCUCCAGAGAGGCCUUGGUGCAAAUAGUUGGUUUAGAAAUGACCUUUCUGAAUAUAAAAAGAGAAGGCAGAGCGAGAUUCUCUUUUUAAGAUUACCUUUGAUGUUGUCCUGACCCCGUGAGUGUACCACGCAAACACGCCUUCUUAAAACAACCUCUCAGCUGGCCUGUGCUGUGCCGCACGGGGCGCGUGCCGGGAUGGGGCCCAAGCGGGGUGCAGCACAUGGGUCCAUCAGAAUGAACCGCCUGGCGAGAACCGUAAAAGCUUUUUGAUGCCCCAGAAGAGAAGUCAUUUAAGAAUGUACCCCAGGACUUUCCAAAGCUGAUGAUCAAAACUACUAUUUAUUGGCGUCUCUGGAUUCUUCGGGGGCACAGAGCAGCCAAUGUUUUGUGAGACUUCAGGAACGUGCCCCUACCUGGACCGCAGGGUACAAGCUUGGUUUCACCGUGGGCAUUUAACUAUUCCUCAGCAGUUGUGCGAAACUCCCCUAGAGAGUUUUGAUUUUAAGUUUUUGUGGUUGUUUUCAAGCAGAUAAAUCACAAAGUUGAUGUCUGAGGGCAGGAAUCAAAGACUCUGAAGGCUCGUGGACAGGACAGAGUAGCAGGAUCCCAGCAGCAGCCAGGUUUUCCCACUGCCUGGGUAGGGUGAGGAAAAUGCCAGCAUGGGUGACAGGCAGCUGCCUGUGGGUGGGGCUGGGCUGCCACGGAGCCGGAAGAUGAUCCGCUCCAAUGAGCUCAGGGCUGGUCAGUGCGUGGAACUUCACUCCUUCACUCCGCUGGCUCAGGAACAUUCUCCAGACCACACAGCCAAAUGAAAAAAAAGUUCUCGAAAAACAGCUCACCACAUAAGUGAGAACAGAACAGGUGCUCUCUGGACUUGGCCCGGUGGGACUCCUCAACCCACACACGACAGUAAUGGGAGGGAAUUAGGUGUUAUCUAAUGACCCAGUGAUGGAAAAGUGACCCCCACCCUGGUCUCUAAGCAAAUUAAUUUUAUGACCUCUGCAGUGUGAAACCAUGUCUAACAAGAAAAUUCCUCCCGAAAAUUUAGAAGACAGAAAAGGAGUCACAGCUGACAUGAAAGGGUCAGGAAGAAAGCCACAAGAGCUGGACAAUGAUAAGAAACUCCAGUGGGACUGUUUUUAAAAUUGACACGCAGCUCUUCCAUGGGCCUGAUGAAAGGCUGGGGCUGAGAGUGGUUGCUGCAGGAGGCGGCGGCUAGUCACAGUCCGGGUGAGAGAGGUACAUUAUCACUGGACCUCAUUCAGAAAAGCAUCCUGUAACUGGGCAUGUGUGCCUGCGCCCCAGCACCCCAGAACUCAGCACCCCAACGACAGCGAAGAAUCACCCACCCCGAGACACACUCCACUCUGACGGGUACACAGAAUACCACCCUGGAGGCGUCUGUGUUUGUAUAGUACUGCACCUCCUUACAGUGCUAAAUCCACCCACUUCUUUCCACAGCCUAUGGAAAUACCAGUAAUGUAAUUCUGCAGACCCCAUGCGCUAAUGUGCUGCAAUGAUUCCGAGGUCUGUGGCUGCUCCCGAGGUGAGCGCUUGCAGUUUGCUGUACAGUUUUCAGCUGUGAUUUCAGAGCCUCCGGUGCCACUGUCAACCUCUGUUCCUCUUCAAGUGGGCUCACUUCCAGUUUCCAUUUCUAAUUCAUUCUUCCAGUAACAAUUAGGACACGUACAGUUGACUGACUGUUAAUGUUCUUUCAUGUCCUCAACUGCUGCCAUCUCCGUCAACACCAACUCAAGGGCAGGUGCUAUCUUUGACUGUAAAUCACUGUGCAUCAGUUAUCUUGAAGCACUGGCCAAAUACUGUCCACGCAACCCUCACUAAGUAAGGUGGCAGACACUUCCAAACAUUAGGCUCUCUCUUCCUAGUCAAGGUUUUACACCUUCUAGCCCCAAAGGUCUCCAACAUUAAUCUGUCUCAUUUCCACAGCGUGGCAGUGAGAGUGACACUCAAAUAUUCCCCUAAAGGUCUACUGUCCUAACUCAGAGCUAGGGAAAUAGUGUCAGUGUUUUUUGUUUUUUUCUUUUUUCUUUUUUUUUUUUUUUGAGACGGAGUCUCGCUCUGUUGCCCAGGCUGGGG